UGGGGGAAACACCCUGGAGCGUACUAAAGCUCCAGAGUCCGUAGCUCAGCCAGAGACGGGACAUAAAGCAUCAAGAAAAUUUACCAGUUCAAGACAGCGGUUGAAGCACACUUUCUCAGGUGAAGAUUAGUUCAGGAACCGGAGAGUCUACAUAAUAGCUGAGAGAACUCAGUUUGAGAUAAGAGAAGUGACUGAAAGCCAGGACUAAUGAAAUGUGCUAUUUAAUGUUAAAGGAAUUUAUAUUCCUGGGUUUUCAUCUCCUAUUUUUUCUCAGAGAAGAUUUAUUUUGGUGAAAUAUUCUCAGGUCUCCUUCCAGACUUGUUACGGUGUUUAAUGUCCCCCUGGGCAGUAGUGAAUCCGCAGAUUGCUCUGCAGGGUGCUAAACGGGAAGAGUUGAGAACAGCUGUCAAGAGAGGCAUUACCACUAACAUUACAGGCUCUGAUGUAGGAUCCCAGGUGUUAAGAGACAAAAGCCAAGAGUGUUAUUACUGUGUGAAUCUAAGAAGGUCUGGUCUUUUUAAACGCAUGGUGGCAUGUCCUGGUCACCUACGCUUUGAUCAUAUCAUUGAGCAGAGAUGAUUGAGCUUUCGCUCUGUCUAAUCAGUCAGAAUUCACAACUGGCAGAAGGCUUUUCCUUCUAGUCGUCAUGCCACUAUGCAGUGAUUUCUAGCUGGCACCUAUGGGUCCCUGGCGAGGUACCAGACAGUGUGCGACGCCCUCUCUGCAGCGGAGCGUAUUUGCUCCUCCCCACUCCAGUGCCGGGUGUCAUUGUUCCCUUCAUUUUUCAGAUGAGCAGAAUCUUAGGGGGCAAAGGACAAGUUCCUUCACCUCCCCAAAACCUCAGUGUGAUGGAAGCCCUGAGAAAUCUCAAAGAAUAUUCUUGAGCCAGCAUUUUUUCACUAUAAUAUUUGGUAGAAAAACAUGUACUGGAAAAUGUGUAAAGUACCUUGGGCUCUGAGGUCAUCCCGUUUUAUGUGCAUGUCAAGACCUACACAAACUAAAACUGAAAGUACGUAAAUGUCAUACACAUGGUUACAGUUUUUCUUUAAAGUAUUUCAUUUGCAAUUCAGUUUUGGUUAGCAACUAUUUUUAAUGUUUUUAUUCCUUAAAUGUUUGUGUUUUUUAUAUUUGUGACAUGUUACUAUUUAGGUAUCUACAGUCUGAAUAGAUACAGUAUAACAAGAAUAUUUUAAUAUGUUAGCAACAGUUUUGGUGACAAUGUGGCAAAAUAGUUAACAGUGCAAUAAACACAGGGAGGAGUCCAUGGACCAUGAGCUCUGUCUUCUCUGAAAAUGUCUUAAAAGUCACAUAGGACUCGUGUAGGCCAAUUCUGGAUAACUGAAUAAAAAAAGAAUAAAGUGGCAUCAAAAGCACCUAAGGUAAUUAAAGUAUCACAAUAAAAUGGGUGGAUUCAUUAGUUUAUUCAUUUGUUAAACACUUACUGAUAAUUUUUAAGGACCAGGCUGAACAAGACGGAUAGCAAGGCUCUGCUCUCUUGGCACGUGCGUGUCAGCAGAGAGCUGUGCUCAUGUGCAGCAAGCUGGAGGUGGCAGUGCAGGUCACCAGAGGCAGCAAAGGCAGGCGCUGUACUCCCAGGGAGGAGCCUGGGGGUAUUUGGGCUGGGUAUAGUAGCAAAGACCCCAGAGACACUUCCCCAGAGGGAGCAAGCUAGGUGGUACAUUCAGGUCCACAGUUCACAGGUGGGGACUUAAAUACUUUAAAAUGGUGAUUUGAGGGCUCAUAAUUUUAGGGCAUACCACCUGGAGAGACAAUAAGAACCAUGACCCCUGGCAGAAGAAAACGUCAUAUGAUUUUGAUGGAAUCUGGAGCCUUACUCUGCUCUUUCAGCUUGCUAUCUGAGACUUCCAGGUGAAUACCAGCCUGCUUAUCCUGACUCAUCUGAAAAUACAGGGUCAGGAGAGGGGAAAACUGGAAAGUGGUUUUGAAAACUGCAGUUUCUUUAAUUUGCGAUUACUAUAAGCUCAGGAGAGAGCAAGAAUCUUGCAUCGGA